CACGUAGGGACCAAGCGUUGUCCGGAUUUAUUGGGCGUAAAGAGCUCGUAGGCGGUUCCGCAAGUCGGGUGUGAAAACUCUGGGCUUAACCCAGAGCCUGCAUCCGAUACUGCGGUGACUAGAGUCCGGUAGGGGAGUGGGGAAUUCCUAGUGUAGCGGUGAAAUGCGCAGAUAUUAGGAGGAACACCGGUGGCGAAGGCGCCACUCUGGGCCGGUACUGACGCUGAGGAGCGAAAGCGUGGGUAGCAAACAGG
rnacentral:rRNA from 1 species